GAAUGAAGGGAUUGACGCUAUGAUUUCCAAGAGCCUCUGGCUAUGCUGCUGAUUUUCCAGUGGUUUCUCUGAGUAACGACAUUCGUGGCACGAAUGAACCUGGAUUCUGGUCUUGCAGCUUCUGAUUGGCACCCUCUGCCUAUAUAAUGUCAGGAUGUGGAAUCCUAGAGUCGGAGUCUUAUCUUCCUCUGGAUUCUGAAGUUUUCCUCUCUGUGCUGCCUGCUCUACCACUGACCAUCAUGAAGUUUUUGGUGUUCCUGGCACUGGUGGCAGUUUCCACCUUCCUGGUUUCUGGCCAGGUUACAACAGAAGUUCCUGCUUCUUCUCCUGCCUCUGAUACAACCACUAUUGAUCCCACCACCAUCUCUGCUGCCGCCACAGAGUCAACUGUGGCUGCCACAUCCACGGCUGCUCCCACCGCAACCACGGCUGCUCCCUCCACAACCACAGCUGCCGCCACAUCCACUGCUGCUCCCACCAGCGCCACGGCUGCCACCACAUCCGCGGCUGCUCCCACCACAUCUACUGCGGCUGCCAAAACGACCACUGCUGCCAAGACCACCACGUCCUAUGAUGACUGCCUCUUUUAUUUUCGUUUUACCCCAUGGCUUCAGCUAUUUUACUGCUAAAAGUUAUCACUGAGAUGGAAUCAGCCUCAGCCUUCUAUAUUUGAUCCUACUGGAUUCGGCCAGAAUGUCCCUUGAUUUGUUUCACUGCGACUACUUUCCAGCCCUAUCAUAUCUCUCUUAUCUCUAAUCAGUUUCUAUUCAUUCAAAUAAAAUGAUGAGUGACAUCA
rnacentral:lncRNA from 1 species